UACAGAGGUCCCAAGCGUUGUUCGGAUUCACUGGGCGUAAAGGGUGCGUAGGUGGUGGGGUAAGUCGGAUGUGAAAGCUCGGAGCUCAACUCCGAAAUGGCAUUGGAAACUACCCUGCUAGAGGAUUGGAGGGGGGACUGGAAUACUUGGUGUAGCAGUGAAAUGCGUAGAUAUCAAGUGGAACACCAGUGGCGAAGGCGAGUCCCUGGACAAUACCUGACACUGAGGCGCGAAAGCUAGGGGAGCAAACGGG
rnacentral:rRNA from 1 species